AUUAAAACAGCCACAUUUAGCUAAAGAAAUGCAAAAGUAAGAUGACAACAUGGUGGAACCUUGGAGGACGAAAGCCAUUCACUGCAUACAUAAAUAUACUCACCAGGUAUCAAAGUAAUAUUUGAAACAGAGUACAUUGGAAAAAAACACGGCGUUUUUAAUAGUUUUUGACAGAGCUCUAUGAUUCAUACAGAAGAGGUUUUGGUCUUGAGAGGACUGUUUUCAAAUGAUCUAAUCUUCCUACUGGUAUAUUUCCACAAGAUGGUGUUCAUCACAUAAAGAAGCUUCUUCAUAUCAAGAUGAGGCAAGAUAACUUAAGCAUCUCUUCAGAAGACAUUCAGCUGAACCAAAGUGUUUAAAUAGUUGUAGUGCUAAUAUAUUUUGGGAUUCACCCUACCCCCACCACUCUAUCUCCAUUAUAUAUGUUAAAUAGUAAUUAUUCAUUUAUGAAAUUCUAAAUCUGGCUGAGUACCAAAUAAAGAUAGAUUAGGUAUAUAUGAAUAGUGUUGUAUUUUAAAUGUGCAAGGUACAAUGGAAAUAGCUAAGGCAACUGAUAAAAAAGCAGA